AUUGAACGCUGGCGGCAUGCCUUACACAUGCAAGUCGAACGGUAACAGGUCUUCGGAUGCUGACGAGUGGCGAACGGGUGAGUAAUACAUCGGAACGUGCCUAGUAGUGGGGGAUAACUACUCGAAAGAGUGGCUAAUACCGCAUGAGAUCUACGGAUGAAAGCAGGGGAUCGCAAGACCUUGUGCUACUAGAGCGGCAGAUGGCAGAUUAGGUAGUUGGUGGGAUAAAAGCUUACCAAGCCGACGAUCUGUAGCUGGUCUGAGAGGACGAUCAGCCACACUGGGACUGAGACACGGCCCAGACUCCUACGGGAGGCAGCAGUGGGGAAUUUUGGACAAUGGGCGAAAGCCUGAUCCAGCAAUGCCGCGUGCAGGAUGAAGGCCUUGGGGUUGUAAACUGCUUUUGUACGGAACGAAAAGCCCCGGGUUAAUACCCUGGGGUCAUGACGGUACCGUAAGAAUAAGCACCGGCUAACUACGUGCCAGCCGCCGCAGUAA
rnacentral:rRNA from 1 species